CACCAAUCAAGCCUGGCUUGGUAUUGGGCCACGGGGGCGACCCGGGCCCCAAAGUCGCCGGCUGGAAAGCUCUGAUCUCAGCGUCGUGGAAUCCAUUCGCCGACGAGAGGAGCGAUUCGUGCCGUUAACAUCUCUUCGAAAGG
rnacentral:misc_RNA from 1 species